GAUGAACGCUGGCGGCGUGCCUAAUACAUGCAAGUCGAGCGAACAGACGAGGAGCUUGCUCCUCUGACGUUAGCGGCGGACGGGUGAGUAACACGUGGAUAACCUACCUAUAAGACUGGGAUAACUUCGGGAAACCGGAGCUAAUACCGGAUAAUAUAUUGAACCGCAUGGUUCAAUAGUGAAAGACGGUUUUGCUGUCACUUAUAGAUGGAUCCGCGCCGCAUUAGCUAGUUGGUAAGGUAACGGCUUACCAAGGCGACGAUGCGUAGCCGACCUGAGAGGGUGAUCGGCCACACUGUAACUGAGACACGGUCCAGACUCCUACGGGAGGCAGCAGUAGGGAAUCUUCCGCAAUGGGCGAAAGCCUGACGGAGCAACGCCGCGUGAGUGAUGAAGGUCUUCGGAUCGUAAAACUCUGUUAUUAGGGAAGAACAAAUGUGUAAGUAACUAUGCACGUCUUGACGGUACCUAAUCAGAAAGCCACGGCUAACUACGUG
rnacentral:rRNA from 1 species